rnacentral:tRNA from 2 species
GAAAUAAAAUGAUUAAAGGGAAGCUGCUAACUUAACCUUUUAGCGGUUUAAUUCCGUUGUUAUUUCU